AUUGAACGCUGGCGGCAGGCCUAACACAUGCAAGUCGAGCGAGCGGCGGACGGGUGAGUAAUGUAUGGGGACUGCCCGAUAGAGGGGGAUAACUACUGGAAACGGUGGCUAAUACCGCAUACUAUCGGAUAACCCAUAUGGGAUUAGCUAGUAGGUGGGGGAAAGGCUUACCUAGGCGACGAUCUCUAGCUGGUCUGAGAGGUAGAUCAGCCACAAUGGGACUGAUACACGGCCCAGACUGCGACGGAGGCAGCAGUGGGGAAUAUUGCACAACGGGCUCGAGCCUGAUUCAGCCAUGCCGCGUGUAUGAAGAAGGCCUUAGGGUUGUAAAGUACUUUCAGCGGAGAGGCGUUACCCGCAGAAGAAGCACCGGCUAACUCCGUGCCAGCAGCCGCGGUAAUUC
rnacentral:rRNA from 1 species